UCCUUCACAGUUGCGGAAAUAUCAAAAACUGACGCCACAAUUUAGAUUCCUCUCCCUCACUCUCCCUCUCUCAUUUUCUUGUCUUUGUUUACACGCGUUCGUUCUCUUCAGGCUUUUAGCUUUUAGCUCAGCUAUAUCUAUCUGUGCUCUCCGCUCCCUUCAACCUAGCUUAAGGCUGCUAUGGUGAAUGCGACUGGUAACGAGUCAUCAGAUGAAGGGCAGGAUGCUGAGGCCCUUGGAAGACUACCUGUACUUUACUAUGGUGUAGGUCAUAUGCUGAAUGAUAUUACAUCAGCUUGUUGGUUCACGUAUUUGCUGUUGUUCUUGACCGACAUAGGGUUAAGUCCAAGGACCUAGCAACUAGGAUGAAGAUUGGUUCGGGGCAUGAGAGAGGAGG